GAUGAACGCUGGCGGCGUGCCUAAUACAUGCAAGUCGAGCGAACGGACGAGAAGCUUGCUUUUCUGAUGUUAGCGGCGGACGGGUGAGUAACACGUGGAUAACCUACCUAUAAGACUGGGAUAACUUCGGGAAACCGGAGCUAAUACCGGAUAAUAUUUUGAACCGCAUGGUUCAAAAGUGAAAGACGGUCUUGCUGUCACUUAUAGAUGGAUCCGCGCUGCAUUAGCUAGUUGGUAAGGUAACGGCUUACCAAGGCAACGAUGCAUAGCUGACCUGAGAGGGUGAUCGGCCACACUGGAACUGAGACAUGGUCCAGACUCCUACGGGAGGCAGCAGUAGGGAAUCUUCCGCAAUGGGCGAAAGCCUGACGGAGCAACGCCGCGUGAGUGAUGAAGGUCUUCGGAUCGUAAAACUCUGUUAUUAGGGAAGAACAUAUGUGUAAGUAACUGUGCACAUCUUGACGGUACCUAAUCAGAAAGCCACGGCUAACUACGUG
rnacentral:rRNA from 1 species